ACAGUCGGAGUUUCCAAAGCGAACACAGGACCACCUGCCUGGUUGAUGGUCCAUUGGCCCCCAGCUUGUGGAAUUUGUGAAACAGCUCCCUCUGCCGGGCUACUACUGCAUUUAAUGCUUUCUGUGUCAGAACUUGGGAGAAAAUAGAUGGACCUGGAAAGUAUUACCUUAAGUGAGGUCAUCCAUCACUGAAGAAAAAGAAGCAGCAGCCCUGACCCAGGAGGUUCAGGAUGAUAGAGUUUCAGCAUCUUCUAGGAACAAAUACAACCCAAAAUUCACCUCUAUGGGAAGCUGACAUGUGUGAGAGGGUAACGGUGUCUGAGGCAGGCCAGCCAGAACACAUUUCCUAAGGAGCCUUCUGAAUGGAAGGUGUCUUAGAAGAGAAGGAAGGCAGCUAUCCUGAGAGUCUUCUCUAGAGAUAAGGCCUUCUCAAGGGCAUGAAGACUGUAGCUUUCUAAAAAUCCAGAUAAUGAGCUCACGACUGAUCAAUAGUUACCACUCCACCGAGC
rnacentral:lncRNA from 1 species